AUAGCAUUCAUAGUAUUCUGCGACAAUUUCACGCGUCUACUCUCCAGCGCUACGUGUUAUUAACUGAAAUACCUAAAGAUGGCGCUGUGGGUCCAAGAGAAAGAAAAGAAAAAGCUUCGGUGCCUGGGCUAACCUUCCUGAUGAUCUGGAAGCCUCAAAAUGCAUUUACACCCCUCGCCCCCGCCGCAGAUUUGCUUAAAAAUGCCAGAAUGAGCAUGUGCUUAGAAAAAUCAUUUGCUUUUUAGACCCCCCCCACCUCUACCCCCAGCUCCAGCCCCCAACUUGGUAAAAAAAAUUGCAAAGGGAAAGGAUCUAGCCAGGAUGGAGUGGAUGACGACACACACGUGCCCUUUGGAAAAGCUGCGACUGUCAUACGUGACAGCCUAGCUUAAAGGACAGAGCUGAGUGCAAGGGAAUGGGGGGAAACCAGAUGAAACGAAGUGAGAAGCGAACACAAAUAAUUGACACCAGAAGUCAACUGCUGAGCUUUUUGGAAUGAGAUUACAGUGGAAACAGCCAUGCCAAGAAAUCUGCACUGGUAUUCUUGCUUGGUUCUUACUACAUCACAUCGGGAGGUCCAAGCGUUCAUGCCGAGUUUGAUUCCUUUCCUAAGACAAUGACCACCAAAUACCUCCAAGGCAAGAUGCAGUUUCUCUGACUACAUGAGCCUGGUUUGGAAGUGCUCACAGGCAAUCUUGAGGUAUGCCCACGGACACUGCUGAGGAACUUACACUGCUGAAGUACACCUACAGACAUAGCUGAGGUACACCCACAGACGCUGCCUAGGUACUUACUCUCCUGGAUGCUGCUAAGGAACACCUGCAGAUGCUGCUGAGGAGCUUUUGGGAGCUAAUGGCUACUGUGAGAGGGAGAGUCACUUUUUUUUGGAGGGGUGGCCACUGGUAGGUUGCCCAUGCCUUAGGAGAUUACCCCACAACUAUGUACGUAUG
rnacentral:lncRNA from 1 species